UCUCUUUUAUUUUUUUUUUUUUUUUUACUAUUACUCGUUGUAUUCAAGAACGUGAAGCAACAACAUCGAAAGUGUAUUCCGUAGAAAACGAGCAAUAAAGUGUGAAGGCAGGUGAAUCCGACAAGACUUAAAAGAGGAACGCCCUUCAAGCGGUGUGUGAGAGAGAGAGAGAGAGUGCUUCGCGAUCGAUAUUCGCAAGAGGUAGAAUGCGAGAGGUAGGAUAGGGAGGGACAAAGAGAGGGAGAGAGAGAGAGAGAAGAGCUUUUGGUUUAUACUACGAUAACGGUAAUUCCGCGGUCUACCCACCUUGUCUACAUCUACCUCGAAGAUUAUGGCCAAGGAAAUACCUGACCUCCUCCUCCUUCUACCACCACCCACUCUAUUCAACCCCCGUUCGCACGUACACGAUCCGAUAAGAUCUAGACAAAUCUUCGCCGCGCGUGGACAUCGUCUUGAGUACGGUCCGAUCUAGAUAACGAGAUUGAUUCUAUCUAUCUCGAAUCAAUUCGACUUUAUUUCUUUAUUAUUUUAUUUAAAGUAAAUAUUUGAUAAAAAGGACGACGAAAAGUCAAGUCAAGUCAAGUCAAGUCAAGUCAAGUGUGAAAAAUAAUAGUUACCAAUUCGACCACGAACCACGUUGGUUUAUAUUUUUUUAUUUGAUUAUAUCAGGACGAACGUAGAAGCGUAGAAUAUAUAUGUAUGUGUGUGUAUGUGUGUACGAGAGAUAUACGAGAUCGUUACGAAUUAAUUAUAACGUUAUCACCGAUCGAGAAACGAUCGGUCCAAUUAUUUAAAAAAAAAAAAUUCGUCGAAAAUCAGAGAUUAAAAUUGCAACCGAGUUUGAUAUCACUCGCUUACACGUGAUCCAAUUAAUUUUCAAAUAAUAUCCCGAUCGUCAAAAUUUCAAUGAAGCAUGCCAUCCUUUCCACUCUUUCUUCAUUCUUCUUCUUCAUCUCCAUCUUCUCUCUCUCUCUCUCUCUCUCUCUCUCUCUCUCUCUCUCUCUCUCUCUCUUUGGUUUUCGACGAGACUUCGACACGCGAACGAUAAAUUUACGACACGCGAGGGUAACCUGCUAAAUGUUCAAUGAAAGAUUCACAGACCGAUUAUAUAUCCCUUCCGUUCUAUAUCAUGAGAGUAAAUCUUCUACCUGAUUUAUCGAAUUACGUUUUACCUUUCCUCCUCAACUCCCUAAACACCUACCACCCUCUCAUCAACCCUUGUCGAAUUUUAUCGCGAACGUAAUGAUUUUAUCGAAU